UAUGAUAAGGGUGUUAUACACAUAUGUUUUAAAUGGGUGUACCAGAAAUCUAAGAAUUCGCCAAUUGUGAAUACACCUUCUAUCAAAUGAAUGUAUAUUUGACAUCUAUUGUAUUUGUAUUAUGUCAAGACAGAUUUAAAUGAAUAAAGAAAUGGAGAUGUCACAAAUGACAGGGAGCACCUGUGAUGUAUUAUAAAACAAAGUAAAAUAACAAAAAUACCAAACUCAAAAGAAAAUUCAAAACAGAAAGUCCUUUAUCAAAUGGCAAAAUCAAAAGCUCAAACACAU